AUUAAGUAUCCCGUGUUAGCUCAUUAAAGACUUCCACUUUCUCUUGAAAGGAGUCAUAUCGUUGGAUAGAUAAAGAAACAUUUUGAGAGAACUAAUUAUAUGCAAGAUAAAAGCUUUCGAUAAAUUUACAUAACUUAGUAUUUCACUGACGGCUACUUCAUCAAACCACGAAAUAUGGAAAACAUAGAUAAUAAAUAGGGCAGGUUUCGUACUCGGAAUGCAAAGGAAAAUCAAAAGGCGUUAAACAAAGUAUUGGGGAUUCGGCAAUAGAGAUAUGAAAAAAAAAUAGAAUAAACAGUUCAGUGGAAAUGUGAAAUGCGUGACAUUUAUUCCAUCACGAAACGAUAUAACUGCUUCAAUUAAAAUUUGAAGAUAGCUGAGAAAAAUUACAGGUUCCUAUCGGACUCUAGGAUUCAGCUCAAACUAUCAUAGACGAGUGUCCACCAAUUGUUCCAGUCCACACUGACCAUUAGGUAGCAACAGUGGUCUCUCUUCGGCACCCACCAGCCUGUUCAAUCCGCCACAGAUAUGGCUUCUCCACAUAUAACUCACCAAGCCACACUUAUAAGGCCGCCACUUAUCCGAUUCUACAACAUACAUCAGCCUAGCAUAUAUGCCUCUCCCUCGCGUACAUCUCGUAGACGUCCCAACACUAUCGACACAGACGUAGCGCACAAUCGGCUGCUCCUAUGCAACAGAAAUGAGCGCCCACCAGUCAUCACAAAUAGGCACAAUCGUGAGUCCCAAAAUCAGAAUAUGGAAAAUGGCAAUGGACCACGAGUCAUAUACGCCCCGAUAAAUGGAUCUGCUCAAAGCAGCAAUGAAAUCAUCGUUGACAACGACGCUGAAGAAAUAAACUUCAGCAACAUUG